rnacentral:lncRNA from 1 species
CAAGAUAGGUAUAUGUACAAAUUUAUUUAUGUUUGUGUUUCUUUUAUCUUUUACAUAUUCUAUCUCUCACUUCAAUAUAUUGAGGGGUUGCGUGCUGAUUGUUAUACCACAAUCAUUAACUUCUCCACUUAUUAUCCAUAUAUCUUUGAUCAAUUGCAGAACCUACAUAACUUUGGAACGGGGAAAGAAAUGUAUAUUCGGUUUUUUCAAUUUUGGUACAUACUACACUUCAUAUAGUAUAGUCUAGAUCCUUUGUAUUCCCACAAACCACAUUCAGACAUAUAUGUUGCGUUGCCUCCCUC